rnacentral:rRNA from 1 species
AUGUGUUUAGCACCCACCGCGUCGUCGAAGCCGGCCAAGUCGGGUGGAGGCAAGCAGAAGAAGUGGAGCAAGGGCAAGCAAAAGGAGAAGGUGAACAACACGGUGAUCUUCGACCAGGCCACCUACGACAAGCUGCUCACCAAGGUGCCCAAGUACAAGCAGAUCACGCCCUCCGUCCUGUCCGAGCGACUCAGGAUCAACGGGUCGCUGGCUCGCAGGGCCAUCAAGGACCUAAUGGAGAGGGGACUCAUCAGGAUGGUGUCAAUCUAG